UCCGAGUUGACCCCGGCAGUCUCCUGUGAGUCCCCACCACCCCGAAGGGCGUGCUGGCAACACAGAAUAAGGGUUGCGCUCGUUGCGGGACUUAACCCAACAUUUCACAACACGAGCUGACGACAGCCAUGCACCACCUGUACACCACCAAAAGAAGCCCUAUCUCUAGAGCGGCACGGUGUAUGUCAAACCCAGGUAAGGUUCUUCGCGUUGCAUCGAAUUAAUCCGCAUGCUCCGCCGCUUGUGCGGGCCCCCGUCAAUUCCUUUGAGUUUUAGCCUCGCGGCCGUACUCCCCAGGCGGGGCGCUUAAUGCGUUUGCUGCGCCACCGACCGGCAUGCCGACCGACGGCUAGCACCCAUAGUUUACGGCGUGGACUAC
rnacentral:misc_RNA from 1 species